GAUGAACGCUGGCGGUAUGCUUAACACAUGCAAGUCGAACGGGAUAUCUUCGGAUAUUUAGUGGCGGACGGGUGAGUAACGCGUGAGAACAUGCCCUUAGGUUCGGGACAACAGUUGGAAACGACUGCUAAUACCGAAUGUGCCGAGAGGUGAAAGAUUAAUUGCCUAGGGAUUGGCUCGCGUCAGAUUAGCUAGUUGGUAGAGUAACGGUUUACCAAGGCGACGAUCUGAACUGGUCUGAGAGGAUGACCAGUCACACUGGGACUGAGACACGGCCCAGACUCCUACGGGAGGCAGCAGUGGGGAAUUUUCCGCAAUGGGCGAAAGCGUGACGCAGCAACGCCGCGUGAGGGAAGACGG
rnacentral:rRNA from 1 species